rnacentral:rRNA from 1 species
CAUUACUGAAGAUUGAUAGGGUUUUGAGACUGCGUCUUAAUUGGCGUGUGCUCGACUCUUAUUCUUUUCAUCCAUCCACACCUUUGUGCACUAAUAAGGGACCCGAGAGGGUCUCCUUUUCAUUAUAAACACAAAGUUAUAUGCAUGUAUUUGAUGCUCUACGGAGUAAUAUAACAAUAUACAACUUUCAACAACGGAUCUCUUGGCUUUCGCAUCGAUGAAGAACGCAGCGAACGUGCGAAACGUAAUGUGAAUUGCAGAAUUCAGUGAAUCAUCGAAUCUUUGAACGCAUCUUGCGCUCCUUGGCAUUCCGAGGAGCAUGCCUGUUUGAGUGUCGUGAAAUACUCUCAAUUUCAAUCUCUUUUGUUUGAAAUUGGACUUGAAUGACGCUGUGUGCCCUUCACAGCCCAUUCUAAAUACAUUAGCGAUCUGGGUUUGAUCACAUACAAUGUGAUAAGUUAAAACAAAGCAUUGUAAAAGAUUGAAUGUCUCAGAUAGCUUCUAACUGUCGAAAGACAAAAAGCAUACAUGUCAUUUGACCUCAAAUCAGGUAGGACUACCCGCUGAACUUAAGCAUAUCAAUA